UGGGGAGGUCCGCGUACCUCUCUGAGCCUCAGUUUGCUCCUCUGAAUAAUGGGGAGAACAGAGGAACAACCACCAAGGGCUAUUGUAGGGACUCAAUGAGCUCCUGCCUGGACGGCCCUUUGGAGAAGCUGAGCCCUAUGAAAGGUCAGCUGGAUCGGCCCUCCAGGGCUCCGUGCUAGGUAGGAGUUAGACAGUCACAAAAGACUCCUCAGGCAGCUGCCAUCCAGUACAGUCAAUGUGAUGCCCUCCUGUCUCCUCUAGUUACAGAUUCAUCCUCUUUUGUAGAGUGGAAGACGCGCCCACCCGCCUAUGGAAAAAGUGAGUGGGCACUGGAUCAAGUGGGAGGGCCUCCCCUCUCCACACUGUGAGGGGAGUGUGGGGCCUGUGAUCGGGUUGCUGGCAGCACCCGCCAUCCCAACAUCUUGUGAUUCCUUCGGGCCGGCAGAGUUCUGACGGCUUCUCAAAGAAGAGAAGACAGCAGUCCAGGAGAGCUCUGGAGGGGGCUGUGGGCGCUGUGGGAGCCCAGGGGGGAGUGGAGGAUGCUCCUACAGCACCCAGAUGCAUCCAAUCCCCAUCCCAGUCCCGCCUCCACUCCCCAUCCUGGGACACAGAACAGGAGGUGUCUGAGCAUCCUGCUCACUCAUAUCAUAGAACCUCCACGGUGGGGGCUCCGCUGCGUCCCAGCGAGCCCACUCCCUGCUCAGGGGCCAAAUGAUACCCUCCGUGUCAGCCCCUAGCAGGAGGGGAAUGUCACCCACAUGGGUCACCUAGUGAAUCAGGCAGCACAGAGGCACAGGAGCUAAAGGCUGAGGUGUUUGGAGGGCAGUAGGAAGCAUGGGCGGGAGACAAAGGCCAUUGUUCCCUCAUCGGCCAGAUAUUCACUGCACCCUACUGUGAACCAAUGUGUGCAAGAACAGAGCAGAUGGCCCCAUGCCCUUCCCUCCUGGACUGGCAUCCCAGUGGGAUGUGCCAGGAGACACUCGAGGACUGUGUCAGGCUUCCCUGAGGAAAAGGAUGGGUGAUCACACCAGGGACCGAGUGCUCUCACUUUCCAAGGUGUUAUCCCAGCCUCUCCUUGGAGACGCGACCUGUUCUGCCAAACUGGCCAGGUCGCACGCGCACGGAAAGUGGGACUGGCCCCUGGACAGGGCCUUGGCCUUCAUUCUCAGCAUGUGGAUGGAAUCCUAUCCCCAGUACUUUUUCCAGCCCCCAGACUUUCCGAGCUUGAGAAGGGUAUUGGCCUUCCUUGCGUUCAGCAUGCCAGGCUCGCAGGUGGAGCAUCAAGCUCGCCUUCUGCUUUCACAGUUGCUGCACCCUGAGCCCAGCGAGGCAGAGAGUCAGGCACCAGCUCCUGAGAAAGAUCCCAACCCAGAUGAACACAUCGCCCCCUUCUCUCCAACUCUAGUGCCCACCACACCUCAGAGCCACAGAUCGAUGUCCAGCGCCGCAGCCGCCUCGAGUCUCAGCCUGGAUUGCACUUCAAGCAAUGGAAAGACCAUUCACGUCCUCCCAGCAACGAGCCUCAGCCCCUGCACCGUGGUCCCACCACUGAUUUCCGCCCCUUCCCCUUUACCACCAGUUCAUUAAAGUUCUGUUUUGU
ensembl:lncRNA